GGAGUAUUAUGGAGCUGAAUAUGGAUAAUACCUUGAACAAGAUCUCUGUAGAUGCCACGUGUAUCUAAUCUUAGAAAUCUGAAAUAGCUAUUGGUGUCACUCUUUAGCAACACAGUUAUGGUAAGUACCAUUCUCUGGUAUAUAUACAAGUGUCCUGUGAUACUAGAGAAAGUGGGAAAGCCUCUCAAGUCAGCUGUGAAAGGAGAGGGGGGCUCUACUGUCUGGUUCAUUACAAUAGCCUGUCAGUGGUGGGAGCAUUCUCCAUAUCUAAAAAACCUUAAUGUAUAUGCCAGACGCCAUAAGAAGAAUCCUUCAUAAAGGGGCACAAAGAACUUUCUAAACACUUUGUAGAGCCAAGAAGAGCAUCUAUAUUUAUAGUAGGAAAACAAUGGUUAAUGAUGCAGGAGAGUCUCAAAAAGGAAACAUAUUUACUGACCUCUAACUGUACUGCUUCUCCAUUUCACUAAAUUCCUCAGAAGAGCAAAACAGUGAUGACUAAGCCCAGGACUUAUGACACAUCGCUUAACUCUUCUCUGAAAGCCUUUUCCCCAGAGGUCUAACUGCAUAAGAGUCACUCAUAAGUCAGGACGAUGUUCUCUUCUCCAAGCUGUCUCUGAAGUAUGAGAAAACUUGCUUCUUUCCAAGAUUAGUUUCCCUGACUUUGUCAGAUCAUUUUCUUCCAGUAAGUUAUCAUUUAUUUCUCUUUCUGCGCAUCUCUUGAUUACUUCUUGAGCUUGUUUUCUAAAAGCCAGUGACUCAUCUUUUGAAUUUAUUUGUUUUUUGUUUCAAUAUCAUAUACAUUUGAUAGUAAAACAAAGAAUGAAGCUGUUUUAACAUCAAAGAAAUUUGAAUUUGAAACAGCUUCAUCCUUAAAUGCAAUCUGCCUAAGAUUGUUUUCUUUGCUAUCACAGUUUUGUGUCUAUAGGUCAGCUUUGAUUUUUGGCAACCCUAUGAACAAAAGACCUCCAAAAGCCCUGGUCAGAAACAAUCUUGCUCAGGUCUUGACAUCUCUGGGCCCUGUCUUUCUAUUUUAAAUGUUACCAUCUGUAAUGCUGUUUUCCUCUUUUCUUGCUGCCUUCUCUUUUUUAUUUAUUCACACUUCUUGACUUUGAAAGUCUAUUUGAAAAGCCGACAUCUGGCAAGCUCUGAUUCAGAUUGAACAGAUCCCGGAAAACCAUCAUUUGAACCUUAAUCAUGUGUUAUUUGCAUACAGCUAUUUGUGUGGUGACGCGCAAGUAGGUCCCACCCCUGACACUUCAUCUUUGGCUUAGCCUCAAACUCUACUAUUUUUGUCUUUAAUACGGUCAUCUGCGAUUUCCUGGUUAGGCUGUGUAUACCAACUCAGCAUAUUGCUUUCUCAUCUAAGAAGGAACAAAUUUAUAGAGCUGGACAUUUGUUUGGGAUUUGCUUUCUAGCUCAAAUACAAUCUUAGCAGACACAAACUUUAUAAGAGAAUAAAAAUGAGGCAUUAAAAGAAUUGUCAGGAAAAGUGAAUCUUUAAAAACUGUAUAUAGAACUGUAAUGAAAUGAAAGUUCAAAUGAAAUGGAUAAUUGUUCAUUCUGAUAUAUUCCUGAAAAGGACACUAUAAUAUUAGAAUACACAAAAUGUCUACUUCUUCAUCUGUUAGCAUUUUCCUUCUUACUAAAGGUUAGCUCAAGUAUUUUACUACUGUGAUGAUAAAAAGUGCUCAAAAGAAUAACACAGGCCUGCAAAAUUGAAGAUCAUUAAAACAUUUUUAAAUGGAUCCUGGGUUUAUGGGAAUCCUCAAAUAACAGCAGAUUUGCUCCAUCAUGUACAGUUUUUAUUUUGUAAU